AGGGGUUUGGAUCCUGGCUCAGGACGAACGCUGGCGGCGUGCCUAAUACAUGCAAGUCGAGCGAGUCUGCCUUGAAGAUCGGAGUGCUUGCACUCUGUGAAACAAGAUACAGGCUAGCAGCGGACGGGUGAGUAACACGUGGGUAACCUGCCCAAGAGAUCGGGAUAACACCUGGAAACAGAUGCUAAUACCGGAUAACAACAGAUGAUGCCUAUCAACUGUUUAAAAGAUGGUUCUGCUAUCACUCUUGGAUGGACCUGCGGUGCAUUAGCUAGUUGGUAGGGUAACGGCCUACCAAGGCGAUGAUGCAUAGCCGAGUUGAGAGACUGAUCGGCCACAUUGGGACUGAGACACGGCCCAAACUCCUACGGGAGGCAGCAGUAGGGAAUCUUCCACAAUGGACGCAAGUCUGAUGGAGCAACGCCGCGUGAGUGAAGAAGGGUUUCGGCUCGUAAAGCUCUGUUGUUGGUGAAGAAGGACAGGGGUAGUAACUGACCUUUGUUUGACGGUAAUCAAUUAGAAAGUCACGGCUAACUACGUGCCAGCAGCCGCGGUAAUACGUAGGUGGCAGGCGUUGUCCGGAUUUAUUGGGCGUAAAGCGAGUGCAGGCGGCUCGAUAAGUCUGAUGUGAAAGCCUUCGGCUCAACCGGAGAAUUGCAUCAGAAACUGUCGAGCUUGAGUACAGAAGAGGAGAGUGGAANUCCAUGUGUAGCGGUGAAAUGCGUAGAUAUAUGGAAGAACACCGGUGGCGAAGGCGGCCCUCUGG
rnacentral:rRNA from 1 species